rnacentral:rRNA from 1 species
CCUACGGGAGGCAGCAGUGGGGAAUAUUGGGCAAUGGGCGCAAGCCUGACCCAGCAACGCAGCGUGAAGGAAGAAGGCUUUCGGGUUGUAAACUUCUUUUAUCAGGGACGAAGCAAGUGACGGUACCUGAUGAUUAAGCCACGGCUAACUACGUGCCAGCAGCCGUGGUAAUACGUAGGUGGCAAGCGUUAUCCGGAUUUACUGGGUGUAAAGGGCGUGUAGGCGGGAGUGCAAGUCAGAUGUGAAAACUAUGGGCUCAACCCAUAGCCUGCAUUUGAAACUGGACUUCUUGAGUGCGGGAGAGGCAGUCGGAAUUCCUGGUGUAGCGGUGAAAUGCGUAGAUAUACGGAGGAACACCAAUUGCGAAGGCGGAUUGCUGGAGAGGAACUGACGCUGAGGCGCGAAAGCGUGGGGAGCGAACAGGAUGAGAUACCCCAGUAGUC